ensembl:rRNA 5S_rRNA 5S ribosomal RNA
UGGGGCGGCCAGGCACUCCUUGCUGACUUCUAGGGCCAUACCCUCCUCACUCUGGAAGCUAAGCAAGGUCUGCCCGGCAAGGACCUGGAUGGGAGACCACCUGGGAAUACUUCAAGCAGUGUAAG